ACCCUAUCAAUAUUGCCUCUGCUUUUGUGCUCAGAGUAGUAGUGCAAUAUUGCUUAUAGGGUCU
rnacentral:pre_miRNA from 1 species